CUAGACCGAGGUGGUGCUCUGCCCCCUGCUCUGCAAAGCGUUUCCGUCCAUGUAUGGCUACCUCCAAGCCACGCUGCUCUGCAGGGUUCCUUCUCUGGGAAUGUGUGAGGAUGGUGACUACAUGAGCAGAGCUGGCUGAAAGACGAGUCACAGACCAGGCCAAGCCUCGGUAUCGGGGUCGCGGAGCAGAAGCAAGGCCACGGUGCAGACCUGCAGAAAGGGAAUGGGAAGGCACCUCACUCUCACCAUGUUAAAUGCAGCAUUUCAAGGUGCUCCUGCAAGUUGGAAUUUAAGAUACUACAAGUUACCUUGGACUUCCAGGUUUUUUUUUACUUAGCAGGCCAAAAAAUUGGCAAAACAAGAUGUGAUACUUCACAGUAAAUGCCAGAAAAAAAUCAUUCUUUGGUAUAUGAUGUGCUCACAGCAACAUAAACAAAGCUGCCAGAUCUCUUCCUUGCUCUCCAACAUUUCUAAAAGAAAUCAACUUUUUUGUGAACAUUUUUUCCCUGUUGGGAAACUGGGAGAUCAAAGAAAAAGGAGAGAAGGCAUAAAGUGCAGCAGUGAAGACAAUGGUGAAAACAUAUAUUACAUAUGAGACAUGUUUUGUAAAGAGUUAUGCAGAAAUGACCUAUAGCUUGGAACCAGACUCUCCUUCCACCAAAGUCUGUUGGGAUUUUGCCAUGGACUAUAAGAGGUUCCUCCAGCCCUUGCUUUUAGCAGGUCCGCACUGGUGGAUGCUCAGAGCAUCCUGCUACUGCAACGUUCCUGUCUCUGGUGGGGACAAAUGCUGCCCUGCCCCAGCCUUGCCAUCUCGCUGGGGUGGAAAGCACUUCCCCAGCUCACUGCUUCGAUCGUCUUAGUCCAUUCGGAUGUCCUCCUGCUGCCAUCUUGUUUGUAUAGAGCAGAAACCUCUUGUUUGCCUUCACCUCUACGGCCUCCUCCGUCAUCCGGCACAGAGGGCAAUGCCUGCCCCAGCGGUAGGCUCCACUGGGUGUCUCUUUUGCUUUCCAAACAGUGCUCCUCUGCCUUCUCCGCUCUGCCCCUUCCAGACCUCAGCAUGGCUGGGAAGCAGCGGGACACCUUCCUUCAAACUCCUCGAAACACUUGUCUGUGAUGCUUGCAGGGAGCAGGGUGAGGGCUGAUCAGCUGCUGCACUGCCCUGCAGCCCUCUCUCCUCCCCAGGUCCCACUUCUCACUACUCCUCAGGUAUUUGAACAUCAGGCUCCUUUGCAGUGGAUUGCCUCCGUGAUCUGUGUUUGUGCAGCACCUAGCACAGAGAGGUCUUUAGGCUAUGGUAGUGCCUAGACACCACAUUUUUACUGCAAGCCAGGCAUAAAAAUACCGCCAGGCUUUCAGUAUUAAGGAAGCAGGAGAAGAUUUUAUGUAAAGCAGAGCCUAGUCCUUGGGGCCCAAGGUUGCCAAUAUUCUUGUCUUAAACAGUAUUUUGGUGUACUAUUGCUGUUUUAAACUUGAAGGGGUGAUGCCUUUAGACACUCUUUCGUUUUACUCAUUGUGUGUUUUGUACCAUAAGAAACAGAAUGUCUCUGAAGUAAAUUUUCUUUAGGGCAACCACCAAAGCCAAACAAUAAGCAAGGCUAUGAGGAAGUGAGUCAAAACCCAUUGAUCACCCAUGCAGUGAGUAACGAGGUCAGGGGUCAAAAAACAAAAGUAUUUUUUAAGAUGGAGGUUAGCUGACUUAUGAAGAAGACUACAAAAUCUGUUUGACAGUGAGUGGUCCUGACGCAUAAGGGAGGAUCUACCUGGGACUGAUGAGAAAAUCGAGAGGGUAUUUUCAAAACAAGAUUGACUUGGUAAAGUGAUGCCCUGGGAAAGGGUUGUCUGGGUAGGAUGCCUUGCAUUAAAUUAGAAGCUGCUCCACACAGUGUGAUGUGGAAAACAGUGUAAUGUUAUUUUGAGAAGAAAGAAGGGGUAAGGAGGGAUGGGGGAAGGAGGAAGAUCUGGGUAGGAAUGCAGAGAACAGCGAAUGAAGCUUGUUCAUUACCU